GAUGAACGCUGGCGGCGUGCCUAAUACAUGCAAGUCGAGCGAACAGAUGAGGAGCUUGCUCCUCUGACGUUAGCGGCGGACGGGUGAGUAACACGUGGAUAACCUACCUAUAAGACUGGGAUAACUUCGGGAAACCGGAGCUAAUACCGGAUAAUAUAUUGAACCGCAUGGUUCAAUAGUGAAAGACUGUUUUGCUGUCACUUAUAGAUGGAUCCGCGCCGCAUUAGCUAGUUGGUAAGGUAACGGCUUACCAAGGCAACGAUGCGUAGCCGACCUGAGAGGGUGAUCGGCCACACUGGAACUGAGACACGGUCCAGACUCCUACGGGAGGCAGCAGUAGGGAAUCUUCCGCAAUGGGCGAAAGCCUGACGGAGCAACGCCGCGUGAGUGAUGAAGGUCUUCGGAUCGUAAAACUCUGUUAUUAGGGAAGAACAAAUGUGUAAGUAACUAUGCACGCCUUGACGGUACCUAAUCAGAAAGCCACGGCUAACUACGUG
rnacentral:rRNA from 1 species